GAACCAGUAACGCUGAAUCUUCUAGUUCAUAGAAGAGCGGGGGAACCAACAGCUAAUCUGCGAGUGCCGCGCAGACAGCGGAGUGUAUCCUUGGGGUGAAUUACGAACGAUCGAGCCAUGAGCCGGUCCGUUCGGAUAGGGCGACUCUCAGUCCCGAAUCCGACAGCUAACCUCGCAAGCGUAUGGAGAGAGGUCCU
rnacentral:sRNA from 2 species